CUGUAAUCAAGCUGCACACUUUAAUUCUGCAUGGCACUAUACCGCGGGAAAUUCGCCGCAGCUUGUCCCAUUUAAAAUUCGCAGGAAUUACUUUAAUCAAAGACCAGUGACUGACAUGAAACUCAAUAACGGAGGUACCAUACUUGAAUGUCUCUGGAGGCCCCUAAUAAAAGUCUGGAGACUCCUGUGCUGCCGUGAAACUGACUAUGAAAUAAAACUAUCAGAGGAAGAAACAGAACUAAUUCCCAUCAUCACCGAUGUCCCUAGCUCUGCCCGUCCAUGGUUUUAAAAAUGAGGAGAAGAUGAUGGAGUUUAGUAAGGUGGGGUGAAUACACGAUUAUUGCUUCAUAAGUUAUUAUGUUUCAUUGGGUUGUUGCUCAUGGGCUCGCCACCUCUGUCUCUACCUGUGCAUGCAUUAGGAGCUCCUGUUUUCACUUUCUGGAACAGCUCUCCUGGAAAAGACCUUCCCAAAAGACCCAAACCUCUGCUUCAUUCGUUUCACUGGAAAUGGAAAAUUGAGUUAAGUACAUUGCAUUAUGGAAUACAA